rnacentral:rRNA from 1 species
UACGGGGGGGGCAAGCGUUGUUCGGAAUUACUGGGCGUAAAGAGCGCGCAGGCGGUCGAUCAAGUCGAGUGUGAAAGCCCCCGGCUCAACUGGGGAGGGUCAUUCGAUACUGAUCGACUCGAAGGCAGGAGAGGGUAGUGGAAUUCCCGGUGUAGCAGUGAAAUGCGUAGAGAUCGUAAGGAAGACCAGUGGCGAAGGCGAAGUUUCUGGACCAGAUACUGACGCUGAGGCACGAAGG